rnacentral:rRNA from 1 species
GAUGAACGCUGGCGGCGUGCCUAACACAUGCAAGUCGAGCGAACAGACGAGGCGCUUGCUCCUUUCACGUUAGCGGCGCACGUGUGAGUAACACGUGGAUAACCUACUUAUAAGUCUGGUAUCAUUUCGGGAAACCGGAGCUUAUACCGUAUAAUAUACUGAUGCGCAUGGUUCAAUAGUGAAAUACGGCUUUGCUGUCUCUUAUCGAUGCAUAUGCGCCGCAUUAGCUAGUUGGUAAGGUAACGGCUUACCAAGGCGACGAUGCGUAGACGAACUGAGAGGGUGAUCGGCCACACUGGAGCUGGAACACGGACAAGGCUACUACGAGAGGGAGCAGUAGGGAAUCUUCCGCAGUGGGCGAAAGCCUGACAGAGCAACGGCACGUGAGUGAUGAAAGUCUUGGGAUCGUGAAGCUCUGUUAUUAGGGAAAAACAAAUGUGUAAGUAACUAUGCACGUCUUGACGGUACCGAAUCAGAAAGCCACGGCUAACUACGUG